AUUGAACGCUGGCGGCAGGCCUAACACAUGCAAGUCGAGCGAGCGGCGGGCGGGUGAGGAAUGCGGGGGAAUUGAAAAGGCGAGGGGGAGAAAAGUUGGAGAAGACAGCUAAUAACGCAGACGAAUGGAUCGCACGGGUGGGGUUAGCUAGUUGGUGAGUGAAUGGCUCACCAAGGGGACGAUCCCUAGCUGGUCUGAGAGGAGGAUCAGCCACACUGGAACGGAGACACGGUCCAGACUCCUACGGGAGGCAGCAGUGGGGAAUAUUGCACAAUGGGGGCAACCCUGAUGCAGCCAUGCCGCGUGUGUGAAGAAGGCCUUCGGGUUGUAAAGCACUUUCAGCGGGGAGGCGUUACUCGCAGAAGAAGCACCGGCUAACUCCGUGCCAGCAGCCGCGGUAAUAC
rnacentral:rRNA from 1 species